rnacentral:misc_RNA from 1 species
UCCGAGUUGACCCCGGCAGUCUCCUAUGAGUCCCCGGCCGAACCGCUGGCAACAUAGGACAAGGGUUGCGCUCGUUGCGGGACUUAACCCAACAUCUCACGACACGAGCUGACGACAGCCAUGCACCACCUGUGAAGGUAUCCCAAAGGGAAGACCGUGUUUCCACGGCUGUCACCUACAUGUCAAGCCCAGGUAAGGUUCUUCGCGUUGCGUCGAAUUAAUCCACAUCAUCCACCGCUUGUGCGGGUCCCCGUCAAUUCCUUUGAGUUUUAAUCUUGCGACCGUACUCCCCAGGCGGUCAACUUCACGCGUUAGCUGCGUUACCAAGUCAAUUAAGACCCGACAACUAGUUGACAUCGUUUAGGGCGUGGACUAC